UCCUGCACACUGCACUCUACUAAUCCUGAACCCAGUGCUGAGAUUUUUAUCUAGUCAGCUGGCUGCUCAGCAAGAACAGACUUUUUUAUCAAGAAGAUUCUCAAAAUGGAGGAGGCUGACAUAAAUGACAGGACAAAGGAGCACGCAUUGAAAUAAAAGGAAAGUUCAGAACAGAUGUCAAGAAGCAUUUUUCAUGUUGAAUGUGCGGAGUGGUCAACCAGCUUGUGCUGUCAUACUCAAGGCUAUCCCUUGCCUGUCUUGCACAGUUUUGAUAUUGUUAACUGGAACAGAUUUGAAGUAGGAUUCAGCACUCCAAAUACCUGGACUCAAAUGCCAAAAGUCAUAUUUUCUAACCAACUACCGGAUGGAUCUACACAAACAUGCGACUAUCAUCAGUGAAUACUCAGGCCUUGUAACUGCAGCGAAAUAAUACCUUGUGUUUAUUUGAGUAUCGCCAAGUUGGCCAA